UCCCUGGGGGACUAGUGGUUAGGCCUCAGCACUCUUAUUGCCACGCUUUGGGUUCGAUUCCCGGGCAGGGAA